rnacentral:rRNA from 1 species
GACGAACGCUGGCGGCGUGCUUAACACAUGCAAGUCGAACGGUGACGGAGGAGCUUGCUCCUCCUGAUCAGUGGCGAACGGGUGAGUAACACGUGAGUAACCUGCCCCAGACUCUGGGAUAACCUCGGGAAACCGGGGCUAAUACCGGAUACGAGACGCUCGGGCAUCCGAAGCGUCUGGAAAGAUUUAUCGGUCUGGGAUGGACUCGCGGCCUAUCAGCUUGUUGGUGAGGGAAUGGCUCACCAAGGCGACGACGGGUAGCCGGCCUGAGAGGGCGACCGGCCACACUGGAACGCAGGCACGGUCCAGACUCCUACGGGAGGCAGCAGUGGGGAAUAUUGCACAAUGGGCGCAAGCCUGAUGCAGCAACGCCGCGUGGGGGAUGAAGGCCUUCGGGUUGUAAACCCCUUUUGGCAGGGAAGAAGCGAAAGUGACGGUACCUGCAGAAAAAGCGUCGGCUAACUACGUGCCAGCAGCCGCCGUAACAC